rnacentral:rRNA from 1 species
CCCUUAGAUGUCCGGGGCUGCACGCGCGCUACACUGAAGGAAUCAGCGUGCUAAAACCAUUGUCGAAAGGCAUUGGUAAACCCAUUAAAAUCCUACGUGAUUGGGAUCGGGAAUUGCAAUUAUUUCCCUUGAACGAGGAAUUCCCAGUAAGUGUGGGUCAUAAGCUCGCGUUGAUUACGUCCCUGCCCUUUGUACACACCGCCCGUCGCUGCCCGGGACUGAACCGUUUCGAGAAAAGCGGGGACUGCUGCUGUCGGGGCUUUCGGGCCUUGGCUUCGGUGGAAACCGCUUUAAUCGCAGUGGCUUGAACCGGGCAAAANUCGUAACA